rnacentral:rRNA from 1 species
ACGGGAGGCAGCAGUGGGGAAUAUUGGGCAAUGGGCGGAAGCCUGACCCAGCAACGCCGCGUGAGGGAAGAAGGUUUUCGGAUUGUAAACCUCUGUCCUCAAUGAAAAGCAGCAGAUGGUAAUUGAGGAGGAAGCCCCGGCUAACUACGUGCCAGCAGCCGCGGUAAUACGUAGGGGGCGAGCGUUGUCCGGAAUGAUUGGGCGUAAAGGGCGCGUAGGCGGCCUGUUAAGUCUGGAGUGAAAUUCCCGGUUUUAAGUUGGGAACUGCUUUGGAUACUGACGGGCUUGAGUGCAGGAGAGGUUAUCGGAAUUCCCGGUGUAGCGGUGAAAUGCGUAGAGAUCGGGAGGAACACCAGUGGCGAAGGCGGGUAACUGGACUGCAACUGACGCUGAGGCGCGAAAGUGUGGGGAGCAAACAGGAUUAGAUACCCUGGUA